rnacentral:rRNA from 1 species
CAGCAGCCGCGGGAAUACGUAGGUCCCGAGCGUUGUCCGGAUUUAUUGGGCGUAAAGCGAGCGCAGGCGGUUAGAUAAGUCUGAAGUUAAAGGCUGUGGCUUAACCACAGUACGCUUUGGAAACUGUUUAACUUGAGUGCAAGAGGGGAGAGUGGAAUUCCAUGUGUAGCGGUGAAAUGCGUAGAUAUAUGGAGGAACACCGGUGGCGAAAGCGGCUCUCUGGUCUGCAACUGACGCUGAGGCUCGAAAGCGUGGGGAGCGAACAGGAUUAGAUACCCCUGUAGUCCCUGUCUCUUAUACA